UGGGGAAUUUUGGACAAUGGGCGAAAGCCUGAUCCAGCCAUGCCGCGUGCAGGAUGAAGGCCUUCGGGUUGUAAACUGCUUUUGUACGGAACGAAAAGACUCUUUCUAAUAAAGAGGGUCCAUGACGGUACCGUAAGAAUAAGCACCGGCUAACUACGUGCCAGCAGCCGCGGUAAUACGUAGGGUGCAAGCGUUAAUCGGAAUUACUGGGCGUAAAGCGUGCGCAGGCGGUUAUGUAAGACAGAUGUGAAAUCCCCGGGCUCAACCUGGGAACUGCAUUUGUGACUGCAUAGCUAGAGUACGGUAGAGGGGGAUGGAAUUCCGCGUGUAGCAGUGAAAUGCGUAGAUAUGCGGAGGAACACCGAUGGCGAAGGCAAUCCCCUGGACCUGUACUGACGCUCAUGCACGAAAGCGUGGGGAGCAAACAGGAUUAGAUACCCACGUAGUCCCUGAGCGGGCUGGCAAGGCGCAU
rnacentral:rRNA from 1 species